rnacentral:rRNA from 1 species
AAACCAACAGGGAUUGCCUCAGUAACGGCGAGUGAAGCGGCAAAAGCUCAAAUUUGAAAUCUGGCACCUUCGGUGUCCGAGUUGUAAUUUGAAGAAGGUAACUUUGGAGUUGGCUCUUGUCUAUGUUCCUUGGAACAGGACGUCACAGAGGGUGAGAAUCCCGUGCGAUGAGAUGUCCAACUCUAUGUAAAGUGCUUUCGAAGAGUCGAGUUGUUUGGGAAUGCAGCUCUAAGUGGGUUGGUAAAUUCCAUCUAAAGCUAAAUAUUGGCGAGAGACCGAUAGCGAACAAGUACAGUGAUGGAAAGAUGAAAAGAACUUUGAAAAGAGAGUGAAAAAGUACGUGAAAUUGUUGAAAGGGAAGGGCUUGAGAUCAGACUUGGUAUUUUGCAAGCCUUACCUUCGUGGUGGGGUCCCCUGCAGUUUACUGGGCCAGCAUCGGUUUGGAUGGUAGGAUAAUGACUUGGGAAUGUGGCUUUGCUUCGGUAAAGUGUUAUAGCCCUUGUUGAUACUACCUGUCUAGACCGAGGACUGCGUCUCUUUACUAGGAUGCUGGCAUAAUGAUCUUAAGUCGCCCGUCUUG